rnacentral:rRNA from 1 species
AUACGGAGGGUGCAAGCGUUACUCGGAAUCACUGGGCGUAAAGCGCGCGCAGGCGGCCUGAUAAGUUGGAUGUGAAAGCCUACGGCUCAACCGUAGAACUGCAUCCAAAACUGUCAGGCUAGAGUGUGUGAGAGGAAGAUGGAAUUAGUUGUGUAGGGGUAAAAUCCGUAGAGAUAACUAGGAAUACCAAAAGCGAAGGCAAUCUUCUGGAACACUACUGACGCUGAGGCGCGAAGGCGUGGGGAGCAAACAGAAUUAGAAACCCUAGUAGUCC